UACGUAGGGUGCAAGCGUUAAUCGGAAUUAUUGGGCGUAAAGAGCUCGUAGGCGGUUUGUCGCGUCUGCUGUGAAAACUGGAGGCUCAACCUCCAGCCUGCAGUGGGUACGGGCAGACUAGAGUGCGGUAGGGGAGAUUGGAAUUCCUGGUGUAGCGGUGGAAUGCGCAGAUAUCAGGAGGAACACCGAUGGCGAAGGCAGAUCUCUGGGCCGUAACUGACGCUGAGGAGCGAAAGCAUGGGGAGCGAACAGG
rnacentral:rRNA from 1 species